rnacentral:rRNA from 1 species
UCCGGUUGAUCCUGCCGGACCCGACUGCUAUUUGGGUGAGAAUAAACCAUGCGAGUUGUAUGGGAUACCUAAAAUUCCCAUGGCGAACUGCUUAGUAACACAUGAUCAACUUACCCUAUGGAGAAAAAUAACCUCGGGAAACUGAAGAUAAUGUUUCAUAGUUGAAUAGGCUUGGAAAAGUUUUUCAAUGAAUGGGAUAAGGAAAAUGGUUCUUAUCUGCCAUAGGAUAGGAUCGUGGUCGAUUAUGGUUGUUGGUGAGGUAACGGCUCACCAAGCCGAUAAUCGAUAGGGGCCGUGAGAGCGGGAGCCCCAAGAUGGGUACUGAGACAACGACCCAGGCCUUACGAGGCGCAGCAGGUGCGAGACCUCCGCAAUACACGAAAGUGUGACGGGGCUACCCAAAGUGUUCUCUUUUGAACUGUGGUAGGUGAGUAAUGUCCCCUACUAGAAAGGAGAGGGCAAGGCUGGUGCCAGCCGCCGCGGUAAAACCAGCUCUUCAAGUGGUCGGGAUAAUUAUUGGGCUUAAAGUGUCCGUAGCCGGUUUAGUAAGUUCCUGGUAAAAUCGGAUAGCUUAACUAUCCGCAUGCUAGGAAUACUGCUAUACUAGAGGGCGGGAGAGGUCUGAGGUACUAUAGGGGUAGGGGUGAAAUCUUAUAAUCCUUGUAGGACCACCAGUGGCGAAGGCGUCAGACUGGAACGCGCCUGACGGUGAGGGACGAAAGCCAGGGGAGCGAACCGGAUUAGAUACCCGCGUAGUCC